rnacentral:rRNA from 1 species
GAUGAACGCUGGCGGCGUGCCUAAUACAUGCAAGUCGAGCGAAUGGAUUAAGAGCUUGCUCUUAUGAAGUUAGCGGCGGACGGGUGAGUAACACGUGGGUAACCUGCCCAUAAGACUGGGAUAACUCCGGGAAACCGGGGCUAAUACCGGAUAACAUUUUGAACCGCAUGGUUCGAAAUUGAAAGGCGGCUUCGGCUGUCACUUAUGGAUGGACCCGCGUCGCAUUAGCUAGUUGGUGAGGUAACGGCUCACCAAGGCAACGAUGCGUAGCCGACCUGAGAGCGUGAUCGGCCACACUGGGACUGAGACACGGCCCAGACUCCUACGGGAGGCAGAAGUAGGGAAUCUUCCGCAAUGGACGAAAGUCUGACGGAGCAACGCCGCGUGAGUGAUGAAGGCUUUCGGGUCGUAAAACUCUGUUGUUAGGGAAGAACAAGUGCUAGUUGAAUAAGCUGGCACCUUGACGGUACCUAACCAGAAAGCCACGGCUAACUACGUGCCAGCAGCCGCGGUAA